CUGGCGGCGUGCUUAACACAUGCAAGUCGAGUUAAGCACUUAGGAAAGAAUUUUCGGAUGAUUUCCUAAGUGACUGAGCGGCGGACGGGUGAGUAACGCGUGGGUAACCUGCCUCAUACAGGGGGAUAACAGUUAGAAAUGACUGCUAAUACCGCAUAAGACCACAGCACCGCAUGGUGCAGGGGUAAAAACUCCGGUGGUAUGAGAUGGACCCGCGUCUGAUUAGUUAGUUGGUGGGGUAACGGCCUACCAAGGCGACGAUCAGUAGCCGACCUGAGAGGGUGACCGGCCACAUUGGGACUGAGACACGGCCCAAACUCCUACGGGAGGCAGCAGUGGGGAAUAUUGCACAAUGGGGGAAACCCUGAUGCAGCGACGCCGCGUGAGCGAAGAAGUAUUUCGGUAUGUAAAGCUCUAUCAGCAGGGAAGAAAAUGACGGUACCUGACUAAGAAGCCCCGGCUAACUACGUGCCAGCAGCCGCGGUAAUACGUAGGGGGCAAGCGUUAUCCGGAUUUACUGGGUGUAAAGGGAGCGUAGACGGAGCAGCAAGUCUGAUGUGAAAACCCGGGGCUCAACCCCGGGACUGCAUUGGAAACUGUUGAUCUGGAGUGCCGGAGAGGUAAGCGGAAUUCCUAGUGUAGCGGUGAAAUGCGUAGAUAUUAGGAGGAACACCAGUGGCAAAGGCGGCUUACUGGACGGUAACUGACG
rnacentral:rRNA from 1 species